UUGAGUCUUGUUUCAUUGUGUCUCUCUAGUUUGUUCUUAGAUUGACUAUUCUUGUUUUUCCCCUGCAGUUACCUGUGGUUCAGGUGACCAAUUGCUCAGUAAACAGUAGUUGCUCAUUCUCUCCCCAGCGAAUUUUGUGGCCUUCUACCCAGUAACCAGUAGUUGUAAGUCCUAUUUCCGUGGUUUUCUACCCAAUAACCGGUAGUUGUAAACCCCAUUUUAUCCCUUUGCAGAGUUAACCAUUGAUUUUGUUCAUCCUAACGGAUGAC
rnacentral:lncRNA from 1 species